UGACCUCAAGCAAUCCGCCCGCCUUUGCCUUGCAGAGUGCUAGGAUUACAGCAGUGAGCCACCACGCCCAGCAGAGACCAUGGUUUCAAUACUUGAGUAAACUCUAACUUCUGUGAGCUUCUUACCCUCAUGUGGUUGUUUUUAAGAGUAAAUGAAAUGAAUUAAAAGCUCUUACUACAUAAAGAGCCUGGCACAUAAUCAGCACUCAAUAAAUGGGCACUGGGCAAAAUCUUCCAGUAAAUUCCAAGAAGCUGACAAUCCCACAUUAUUUUAGAAAUUAAAAAAAAAAUUAAUAAUGUUUUAAAAAUUUAACUGAGUGAGAUAAGGCAAAACUACAAAUUUGUGAGUUAGGUGGAGUGGUUACAAGGAUACUCUAUCAUUUACUUAAAUUUAAAGUCCUCAUAGCCUUAGUAACUUUACUGGGCAUAAUCUUAUAAUUCUCUUAGGUUGUGUUAGGAGUGAGAUUUAGUAAAUGGGCAUAUUUAUUGAUUCUCCUUGACAGCCUUGGUCCACUAGGAAUAUAGAUUGAUGUGAACUUUUUAUCAGUGCACCAGAUAUAUGUAUGAGUAUUGAGUAGAUGAUUUCAUUAUGAAGGAAUUUAAUAUUCCCUGGAUUUAAGAAAAAUGGAUUGAAUUUUUGUCAAUAAAUAAUUAAAAUUUAUUCCCAGUGAUGCUUAAAAUAUUAUUAAAACCAUUAUUUUGCAUGCUUUUACUCUUAUUUAUAUUUUUGGCUGUGAGAAAUGAAUAAAUAUAUGUGAGAUAAGUUGGAAUCUAUUUUACAAUCAUACAACAACUUAGAUAUUCUUGGGUUACUUGUCAAAAUUAAAGAACUUUUUAAAACUAAAACAGAAAUUCCUAUCAAUUUCUCAAGAGAAAUUAUCAACCAUUCUUAUUUAUUUUACUUAUGAAUUUACUAUGCAUGAACAUUUAUUAAAUUAGGCUACUUUUACUUGAUGAUAAAGUAUAAUGGAAAAUUUUAUCUUAAUAUUCAUAGCAUAUGAAACCAAGGUCUUUAAAACACAGAUGAAUUCAAGUUCUUGUUUAAAUACUCUUUUUUGCUCUUUAUUGAGCUUUAUAAGAAAUAUCUUUGUCAUUUUAUACUAUAAUUAAUUCCUGAUUUCCCUCAUAGAUGAAUCUCAUACUCGAAUCCUUUCUGGUUUCAUUUUCAUUAUAAUGAAUUCAUUGAUGUCAUAUUAGGUCUCUGCUUUGGAAACAGUUUCAAAAAUAUGAAAUUAAAUAUAGGGCACUUGCAGUUGGUUUUUGGACCCGUGAUUCUUACUUUCUUAGAACCAGAUUAAGUUUCUCCUCAUUCAUUCAGUGAAGACCUAUUGAUUGCCUAUGCUAUGAAGUCAUUGUGCAUUUAUUUGUUCUGCCCAGCUUCCAUCUUCCAUUCAUUUAUUCAACAUCUAGCCUGGCAUCUCCCCCCAAAACUUGCCUCUUCUUCUCUCACCAUAUGAUCUCUCCACACUCCAGCUCCCCUUCCCCUUCCACCAUGAGUGGGAAUAGCCUGAGCCCAUCACCAGAAGAAGAUGCUGGGGCCAUGCAGAUCCAUGAGCCAAAUAAACUUCUUUUCUUUAUAAAUUACCCAUCUUCAGGUAUUCUUUUAUAGCCACACAAAUAGACUAAGAGAGUGGUCUUGAAACAGUGCAUUCACUGAUUCAUUAAAUCAACAUACGUUUAUCACACUCUUACUAUGUAUUGGGCACUGAUCUACAUUCUGGAGAUUCAGAUAAAUUUUAGAAUCAGCUUGACAAAUUCCAUGAAAAUUCUUGAAGAUUUUUAAUUGGAAUUCCAUUAUUUGUAUAAUUGACACUUGUAUAAUAUUUAGGCUUUUCAUCCUGAAAAAAAUGGUAUAUCUCUCCGCUUGAGUUUUAUUUACUUCUUUAAUACUUUUAUAGUUUUUUGUUUAUUUCAUUAUGUACCUUGCAUGUUUCUUUUGUUGAAUUUAUUCCUAGAUAUUCUGUGAGUUUUUUGUUAUUACAAAUGGAAUCAUUUUCUGAUUGGAUAUAACUGACUUAUAAAAAGGGUAUUGAUUUUUGCCUGUUAAAUUUUUAUUCAAAUUCCUUACUGAAUUCUGUUACUAAUUCAAUAAUUUAGUUGAGUCUCUUGGCCUUUGGAGUUAAAAACAGCCAUAUCAUUUGCUAAUAAUGAUAUUUGUGUUUCCCACUUUCUUUUUACACCUCAUUGCAUUGGCUAAGACUGCCAAUACAAUUUGAAUAGUAACAGGCCUGGAUGAAACUUCUUUUAUUUUGUGUAUGUGAUUUUCCAAGUCUUACAAAUUUAUACUCUGCUCUACUGGCUAAGAAACAUAUCUUUUGGGAUAAAGUCAGUAAUGUCCUCAAUUGCUUGAAUUUAUAAGAAAAUGAGUAAUAUAUAAAAAAGUUAAUUUAUAGGCUUUAUUUCACUUUUAUAAAAUUUUAAACCAUUAAAUUUUAUUAUUCAAAUUGAUUCUCUGAAAAAACUAUUAAUGUAACAUAGACUUGCCAAUUCCAAACAAUAAAUAUUUUUUGGAUUUUCCUGUUUGAAAUUUACAUCCUAAAAUGUAUCAAGCAAGUUUCAAAAAUAUCAGGAAUAACCAAACCAAAUUGGGGUAUGUGUCUGAAAAGCUACAAAAAUGCUAGUCUUGCAUAGUUAAUAAUGACCCUGUGCAUGUGCUACAAAUAGCAUUUUGCUUCCGGUUAAUAACAGCUUGCCAUCUAAAUAGAAUAAUGUAAACUUUAAUGAGUACUACUCUUAAAAUAAAUAUUACUUUUAUUUUCAGUGAAGUGGAAACCACUGCCAUUGUCUUGCUUUUAUAUCUCCAAUCUCUAUGGAAAUAAACCUGCCUAAAGGUACAUCAAACAGCCAUCGUGCAGUUCUAAAUUCAAGAUCUCUGCCCUCCACCUCUCUUCCCUGCCUUUGGGGUGAGACUUGACCACUAGGAAUCAAGAGAGAGAAGGAACUAGUAGAAUAAUUCCCCUGGUACAGUCUUUACCAGGAAUUGCCAAAGUGGUUGUGCCAUUUUAUGCCUUGAUCAGCAGUAAGUGUGCAUGCCUGUCUCCCACAUCUUCACCCACAGUUGGUCUGCUUUGCUGCAAUUAUCAGACCUGCUGCCUCAAAGAUAGGGACCUGAGUUCGUUCACCUCUCUCUACACCCCCACACCACCCAAAUGCCCAUACACACUCCUUGCCCCUGUACUGUGGAGAUUAGACUCAUUAUGUGAAUGCUUGCAGCAAAGAUUCGUUGCAUUCAUUUCAUUGAUUCAAAAACCAUUUAGCACCUACUCUGUGCUAGAUAUUGGGGGACAAAUGAUAAAGGGAAAACAAGACAAUGACAGCCUUCAGAAGGCCUCCAUGCUGGUGGGACCUAGGGUAGGCUCUUAAAUAUCUGGUACAUACCCUGUGAUAAAUGCCUUGGUGAAGGUAUGGGGUACCUGCAGGUUUAAGCUGUCAGAAGAGAGGAAAUGAAGUUGUAAUCAAAUCUGUCUGGGGACAAAGGAUGCAGUCAAGGCAGGGUCACCAAGGAAAGGCCAUCUGAGCUGGGCCUUGGAGGUGAACAGACAAUUGCCUUGCCAAGUUUAGACAAAGCGUGCAGAGGGAAGCGCUUCUCGUGGUACAUUCAUCAUAUUGGGUGCAUAUUGCUCAGCACCCAGGAGUUCCAAACUAACACGAUAGCUGCACAGAGUUCAAGAGUGGGGAUUGUAAAAGGAAGAAAAUGUAAAACUAUAUGAAAAAAUAACAGAGGAAAAGAUAAAUAGGGAAAAGGCCCAGGAACGAGAAAGAGAGAGAAACAUUUAUUUUUAUUAUUAAUACUUUCUCUGGUCAUAAAAUCCAAAGAUGUAAUCCAUAAUUGGAACCCUCCUUGUAUCUUGUCAAAAAGGCCUCUAAGUUAAUAGAUAAAUCAAGUAGAUAAGCUAGGUUGGUAAUCACAGCUGGCUGCAACCUGCAACCUGGUCUGAAGCAAUGGUUUGCAGACUUUCACUGGCAUAAGAAUCAGCUGGAGAAUUUGUUACAGGAUCCCACAUGAACAGAAUUUAAUUUUAUUUUGCAUCUAUUGAUAGGAGUGUCUCAGUGUGAAAGGGGAUUUUUGAAGAGGCAUACUUUGAGAACAUCCGAACUCUGAAAUAUCAUCAGCAAUAAUUUUUCAUUUCAUCAAAGGAUUUGCUUCAGCCUUUCUAUAAAUAGCUGCUUUCACUUGAGCAGUUAUGAUAAAUAACCCAAAUUUGAUUAACUCUAUCAUUUUUAAGAACAUACACACCUAUUAGAUACAAUACCUGUAAUUACACUGUGAGCUGGAAUCUUCCAGAAGAUUGGACAGUAUCUCUGUUGUGUUUUGUUUUAUGCUUUAUGAAAUUAUAACAUGCAUUGAGAAAAGUGCACAUAAAUGUACUGCUAGAUGCAUGUCCAUAAGCUGAACACACAUAUGUUACCAGCACCCAGAUGAAGAAACAGGAUACUCUUCCUCUGUGUCUCCCUCCAGUUGCCAACCUCUGCCAAGAGAAACUGCUAUCCCGACUUCUAACACCUGAGUUAACUAUGCUUGUUUCUUGUGCUUUAUAUAAAUGGACUGGCACAGUCAGUAAGAAUUCUUUGCAUGUGGUUUCUUUCACUCACCAUUAUUUUUGUGAGAUUCAUUUAUGUCGUUCUGUGUCAUUUUAGAUGUUUCAUUCUCAUGACUGUUUCAUAUUGUGUUGUCUAAAUAGACCACAAUUUAUUCAUCUCUCCAUCUUCCUGUUGAUGGACAUUUGGGUUGUUUUCAAUUUGGGGCUAUUGUGAAUAGUGUUUCUAACAACAUUCUCAUACAUAUCCUUUGAUUGACAUAUAUACAUGUUUCUAUUGGGUAUAUAACUACAAGUGGAAUUGCUAGAACAUGACUAUAUGCUUAUAGUCAUCCUAAGCAGAUGUGGCCAAAGAGUUACUCAAACUACCAGUGUGUGAGAGUUCCAGUUGCUUUGAAUCCUACCCAUCCUUUCAAGUUUUCUGUCUUUUUUAACUUCAGCCAUUCUGGUGGAUUUUAAUUUGUGUAUGGUUUAAAUUUGCAUUCCACUCAUGACAUUGAGCACAUUUUCAAGUGUUUAUUGGCCAUUUAGAUAAUGUCUUUGAAUUUAUCUUUUGCAAGAUAUGGUUUGUUCACAUCUUUUGCCAGUUUCUACCAGAUCAUCCUGUUUUAUUUUCUUGUUGAUUUAUAGGAAUUCUUUAUACAUUCUGUAUAAAAGUCUUUUGUUGGAUAUGUGUAUUGCAAAUAUUCGUCCUUUCUGUGGGUUGCGUUUUAACUCCCUUUAUGGUGUCUUUUGAUGAAUGGAAAUUUGUAAUUGUAAUAUAGUCCAAUUUAAUCAAUUCUUUUCAUUAUGGCAAGUUCUUUUGUAUUGUUUCUAAAAACAUUUUGCCUGUCCAAGGUCAUGACAACAUUCUGGUUUUUUUUUUGUUUGUUUGUUUUGUUUUUUUUACAAAAAGCUCUAUUAUUUUGCCUUUCAUACUUAGAUCUGCAUUCAUUUGGAAUCGAUUUUUGUGUAAGAUGUGAAGGGGAGAUACAUGGCAUAUUGAUAGCCAUUUGGCCAAGAACCACUUAUUGAAAAGACCAUUCUUUCUCCAUUGCCCUGCAAAGCCACCUUUGUCACAGAUCAGUUAACCAUAUGCACGUGUGAUCAGAAUUAAUGUGGGAUAUAUUUGAUGGUGGAGGGGGAGAAGGGAAGGUAUUAAUGCUUACAUACUUCAAAAUGUUUUUAAAAUGUAUACUUCCCAACUGCAUCCCCUUAUUCAUAUCUGCAACCAGUGCUCAUAAACAAGAUGAUAGAUGGAUUCAAGAAUUUGUAUCCAUCUCCCAGUGCAAACUCCUCCUUUUCCUGCAUUGGAUGGAAAAAUUGUUGAAACCAUCCUACCAUAGAAAUACCAUGUAAACAAGCUCGAGUUAAAAACACCUGGCAACAACAAGCAAAGAUAAGCAAAAGCCGAAAAAUACUUCUCAUUUAUGAGAGAAAUGAGGGAAGAAAAAUGAAGUGAAGGAAAAAAAGUCCAUAUUAUUUAACAAUCAGCAUAAAUCACUUUGUGGACAAUAAAACAAAACUUCUCUUGCCUCCUC